rnacentral:rRNA from 1 species
GAUGAACGCUGGCGGCGUGCCUAAUACAUGCAAGUCGAGCGAACAGACGAGGAGCUUGCUCCUCUGACGUUAGCGGCGGACGGGUGAGUAACACGUGGAUAACCUACCUAUAAGACUGGGAUAACUUCGGGAAACCGGAGCUAAUACCGGAUAAUAUAUUGAACCGCAUGGUUCAAUAGUGAAAGACGGUUUUGCUGUCACUUAUAGAUGGAUCCGCGCCGCAUUAGCUAGUUGGUAAGGUAACGGCUUACCAAGGCAACGAUUCGUAGCCGACCUGAGAGGGUGAUCGGCCACACGGGAACUGAGACACGGUCCAGACUCCUACGGGAGGCAGCAGUAGGGAAUCUUCCGAAAUGGGCGAAAGCCUGACGGAGCAACGCCGCGUGAGUGAUGAAGGUCUUCGGAUCGUAAAACUCUGUUAUUAGGGAAGAACAAAUGUGUAAGUAACUAUGCACGUCUUGACGGUACCUAAUCAGAAAGCCACGGCUAACUACGUG